GGCCGCUACAUCACCGGCUCCGACCCGGAAAUACUCACGCUUCUCCAUUCAGACGCUACGGACGCGGAGUUGCAACGUGAUCAUGGGCAGCAGGGAUUUUAUUUGGAUGAAGAAGAAUCAUAUUCAUCCAUACAUUCGUCCAUCCAUGCAGUGACGGUGGAAGCGCAUCGAGGCAAGCUGACCCCCCGCCCCCCGUGCAAACUUCUAUUCCCGUUUCGGUUUACUAAAACUGGCGCCCUGGGCGGCCGCCUAUGUUCUGUAAUUGAUUGACUGGCACUGCAUCCAUCUAUCUCAGUCUCCUGUGCUAUUGCGAAGUUCAUGGUAGCACAUGGCACCAUCGUACAGUACCCCGUGAAUGGGAUGCUUGUCCCGUAUUAUUAUUGACCUUAUAAUGAUAAUUAUGCUAACCUGGCUCGCGGCAUGGGGUACUCUGGAUGGCAUGUCGCUCUUUGCACGGUUUUUGCGCUUGCUGAGUUUUUACCUUUUCAUAAUGUUAUGCUUUUAACCAUAUUCCCCUAUUUGCAUAAAAAUAAUUCAUGCUCCAACCUAAUAAUGGAAGAUCACUGGAGAUUUACAUAUUUAUCCACAAAUAUUUAAGUUUUCUAAAUAAAAUAAAUGUAAACUUUUGCGAUUUUUUUUAUACAAAUGGGAGACAUUUCUUACGUGUGUCUGGCCAACUUUUAAUUUUAUAUUUGUACAAUACUGUUGAAAAGUCUUAGGCAGUCUAAGAAAAUGAUGCUCAAAUGAUCUUCAUAUUGGUGUAAAAAUGUAGGCUAUUGUUCACUCGACCAGUACCCUACCCCGUAUAGCUAAUCAAUGCCUCACUGACUUAAACUAGUUAAAUAGAUUAAUUCAUUGAAGUGGUAGUGAAAUUUAACGAAUACAUGGAAUGGCUAGGGUGCCCAUGAGGAGAGGUUUGGGAACUGAAGCGGUGUUCACCUAGCCAUCCAACAAGUUAUCAGUACAUUUUUGGAGAAAUUCUCGUUAGAUUUUGUUGUGUUACUCUUAAUUUUCGUAUGUUCUAAUGUUAAAUUGUGUUUUUUGUUUUGAGCAUAUAUACAUUUACUACUUAGAUAAAUAGCUUUAAACAGUUCCUUUGACUGCCUAAGACUUUUGCACAUAUUUGUCCAUGAAUUUCCUAUACCCGCUGGUCCUAUGCAGGGUUACGGGUGUCUGGAGCCUAUCCCGGAAGAUUAUAUUUAUGUUAUAAUAAGACCUUUAUGCUAGUUUUGCCCCAGAAAUACGGUUUGUUAUUUAAAGGUUUUCUUCAGCCAUUAGAUGGCGUCCUGCGCCUAACAACAGCAGCAAACCGCAGGCUUUGUUUGCGGCGCACGGGGCUCAUUUCACGCUCCAUGUACCAGUGUUACCCUCAAUUUGCACAAUAAAUCUCACGUCAUCUAAUUUUAUUAAAUGAA